CCUACGGGGGGCUGCAGUCGAGGAUCUUCCGCAAUGGGCGCAAGCCUGACGGAGCGACGCCGCGUGGAGGACGAAGGCCUUAGGGUUGUAAACUCCUGUCGAGGGUUAUGAAGAGCGUCUGGCGAACAGCCUGACGAGUGACGUAAGCCCUGGAGGAAGCACCGGCUAACUCUGUGCCAGCAGCCGCGGUAAUACAGAGGGUGCUAACGUUGUUCGGAAUUACUGGGCAUAAAGCGCACGUAGGCGGCGCGUCAAGUGCGGGGUGAAAGCCCACGGCUUACCCGUGGAACAGCUUUGCAUACUGACGUGCUGGAGUGCGGUAGAGGAGAGCGGAACUCUUGGUGGAGCGGUGAAAUGCGUAGAUAUCAAGAGGAACACCAAAGGCGAAGGCAGCUCUCUGGGCCGUUACUGACGCUGAGGUGCGAAAGCCAGGGGAUCAAACGGGCUUAGAUACCCUUGUAGUC
rnacentral:rRNA from 1 species